GCCAGUGUGACGCGGUUGUGCAGUUUGUUAGGAGCGCGAGUGGAGGAGCGGCUGCUAACAAUGGAGCCUUUAUCCCGGAGAGUUCCAGUCGGAAUAGGCACGCGGUCGGUGGAGUCAGCCGUUAGUUCAGUCCCGGGCCCGAGCCACUCCAUAGACCCUACCGCAGCUCCUCAAUUGCUUCUAAUUCCCCGCUCUGGAUCCAGCCAAUACUGACUCAUGUAUUGACGAUAGAAGUUUGGUUUAAAUUAAUGAAGAUGCCUCUUUCAUUAACCCUGAAGAUUGCUGUGCUUAAUGCAGUGGAGCUUUUAAUAGCACAAUACAUACGUGAUCCAUUACAGAUAAGUAGAAAG